UCGAACGAGAAAAGUAGCAAUACUAAGUACAGUGGCGCACGGGUGAGAAACGCGUGAGAAUCUUCCUCUAAGUGAAGAAUACCCUGGUAGAAAUCCAGGUUAAUACCGCAUAAGCCCGCAAGGGGAAAGGUGGCCUCAAGCUACCGCUUAGAGAUGAGCUUGCGUCCUAUUAGCUAGUUGGCAGGGUAAAAGCCUACCAAGGCAAAAAUGGGUAGCCGACCUGAGAGGGUGAUCGGCCACACUGGAACUGAGACACGGUCCAGACUCCUACGGGGGGCAGCAGUGGGGAAUAUUGCACAAUGGGCGAAAGCCUGAUGCAGCGACGCCGCGUGGAGGAUGAAGGUUUUCGGAUUGUAAACUCCUGUUAAGUGGGAAGAAAGGCUUCUACCUAAUACGUAGAGGAGAUGACGGUACCACUAGAGAAAGCACCGGCAACUUCGUG
rnacentral:rRNA from 1 species